GACGAACGCUGGCGGCGUGCUUAACACAUGCAAGUCGAACGGAAAGGCCCUGCUUGCAGGGUACUCGAGUGGCGAACGGGUGAGUAACACGUGGGUGAUCUGCCCUGCACUUCGGGAUAAGCUUGGGAAACUGGGUCUAAUACCGGAUAGGAGCCAUCUUUAGUGUGGUGGUUGGAAAGUUUUUUCGGUGUAGGAUGAGCUCGCGGCCUAUCAGCUUGUUGGUUGGGUAAUGGCCUACCAAGGCGGCGACGGGUAGCCGGCCUGAGAGGGUGUACGGCCACAUAGGGACUGAGAGACGGCCCAGACUCGUACGGGAGGCAGCAGUGGGGAAGAUUGCACAAUGGGCGCAAGCCUGAUGCAGCGACGCCGCGUGGGGGAUGAAGGACUUAGGGUUGUAAAAUACAUUCGCUAGGGACGAAGCUUUUUGUGACGGUACCUAGAUAAAAAGCACCGGCUAACUACGUG
rnacentral:rRNA from 1 species